rnacentral:rRNA from 1 species
GGCCUACUAUGGUGGUGACGGGUAACGGGGAAUUAGGGUUCGAUUCCGGAGAGGGAGCCUGAGAAACGGCUACCACAUCCAAGGAAGGCAGCAGGCGCGCAAAUUACCCAAUCCCGACACGGGGAGGUAGUGACGAUAAAUAACAAUACGGGGCUCUUUCGGGUCUCGUAAUUGGAAUGAGUACAAUUUAAAUCCCUUAACGAGGAACAAUUGGAGGGCAAGUCUGGUGCCAGCAGCCGCGGUAAUUCCAGCUCCAAUAGCGUAUAUUAAAGUUGUUGCAGUUAAAAAGCUCGUAGUUGAAUUUCGAGACCGGUUUACUGGUCGUGCUUUUGUACGUACUGGUAUUAUUGGUUUCUCCUUUCUGACGAACUAUAAUGCCAUUAAUUUGGUGUUUUAGGGAAUCAGGACUGUUACUUUGAAAAAAUUAGAGUGUUUAAAGCAGGCUCACGCUUGAAUACAUUAGCAUGGAAUAACGGAAUAGGACGUUUGAUUCUAUUUUGUUGGUUUCUAGGAUCGACGUAAUGAUUAAUAGGGAUAGUUGGGGGCAUUAGUAUUCAAUUGUCAGAGGUGAAAUUCUUGGAUUUAUUGAAGACUAACUACUGCGAAAGCAUUUGCCAAGGAUGUUUUCAUUAAUCAAGAACGAAAGUUAGGGGAUCGAAGACGAUCAGAUACCGUCGUAGUCUUAACCAUAAACUAUGCCGACUAGGGAUCGGAUGAUGUUAAAUUAAUGACUCAUUCGGCACCUUACG